rnacentral:rRNA from 1 species
UACGGAGGGGGCAAGCGUUGUUCGGAAUUACUGGGCGUAAAGGGCUCGUAGGCGGCCAACUAAGUCAGACGUGAAAUCCCCAGGCUUAACCUGGGAACUGCGUCUGAUACUGGAUGGCUUGAAUUCGGGAGAGGGAUGCAGAAUUCCAGGUGUAGCGGUGAAAUGCGUAGAUAUCUGGAGGAAUACCGGUGGCGAAGGCGGCAUCCUGGACCGAGAUUGACGCUGAUGAGCGAAAGCUAGGGGAGCAAACGGG